rnacentral:lncRNA from 1 species
AGGCUCAUCCUUUCCAGAAAACACUUCGGACCUGGACGAAGUGGUCGGCUUCUCAGGCGACAUUUCCACAGCACCCUCCAGCUCGUAAACCCAUUGCACCAACAGCAGGCUGUUAGAGGAAGGGACUCUGCUGUCAUUGCAGCUGGGGAGGGCUGCUUUGGUCUUAAGGGUCUGGGAGAGAGUUAAAUCCUUAGGCUGUCUUUGUGCCUCAUUCCAGAGUUCUGUCGUGCUCAGCACUGUCCCCUGCCUAGGAAGAAAAGUCCGUCAGUCAGUCCCUCCCUCAGGCUGUUGUGUUGUGGGUGCUGAUCGCUGUCCCAACCACAGCAGAUCACAGCUCUCCUGGCAGGGACAGACCGAGGGCCGGAGAACCAGAGAAAUGGCAGGUGCCCAGACAGAGCAGGCUCAGCGGUGUGAGGUUUCCAGGAGGCAACUCUUUCCAGGGAGGGGAGA